GAGCCACGCAAUGCAGAAUAAUAAAUUGCUGAAUGUCACAGUAUUCUGGAACAUCUUACCUGCGUCAGUCGACAUUCUAUAUGGCAAAGAAUAAAUUUUUCCCGAUAAACAAGAGCUAUUUACACUUCAAUUUAGAGUGUAUGAGAGUCUUCGGUAUGUGGAAUCCAUAUGAACGAGGACCCAAGUACUGGUUCUAUCAAGUUUAUUCAGUAUACGUUGUCAACGUAAUAAUCGUACUGAGACUGAUGAACGUUUUCAUGCGAGGAAUAAAUGCCAAGAACUUCAACGAAUUUCUCGAGGAAUUCUCCUUGUUGACUGUGGGAACAGCUGAUAUGAUUAUGUCCAUCACUUUUUUAUUACACCGAGUUGAAGUGUUGGACUUGGCUGAUGCGUUUAAUUGGGAGAGAAAUUUGUUAGGGACUGACGAAAUUACCCAACAUCGGGACAGAGUGCUCACGAGCUCAAUCAGCUCAUGCAAAGUCUUCACCUUAGCCAUCAUGAUCACAUCAGUUCAAUACUGCACAUUUUCAUUUUACAAUAUCUUCAAUGAGGUCGAUUACCACAAGGAGAUGCUGCCGAUAGGAAUUGCACCGAUGAAGUACUGCUUUGUUCUCCCAAAUUUUUGGAUUGCUUUCAUGAGCGACUACUUGUCAUUAGUUCUCCUCAGCUUGGUUGGCGUCUCUCAUGACUCAUUCAUCAUGGCUGUGAUGAUAAAUAUCAAGUCACAAUUGAAAAUACUCAAUUUUCGAUUAGAACGAUGUCACAUGACCUGUUACAAUCCCCAUGAUGUCGUUCGAUUUGAUGAUUCAUCAGUCACUCAUUUCGAGUGCGUUGAGAGACCUAUCACUAAUAAGUCCAUGUCCCUCGAUCCGAAUGAAGAACUCAUCAAUUGCAUCAAACUUCAUCAAGAAAUUGUGAGGAUAUUACGAAUAUUCACAAAAAUUUAUAGCAAAGCAUUUCUACCUCAGUUGUUCAUCAGUUUGUUAUUAAUCACCGUACUUCUGUUACAGAUGAUUUUGGGAAAGGAAGGCAAUCAGACUGAUGCCCUAAGUGCACUAGGAUUCUUCAUUCCAGUUAUACUGCAAUUGCUGGCAUUCUGCUGGGGUGGAAAUAUCUUUAUUGUCGAGAGCGAUAAGUCAAGCAAUUCACUGUACGAAACCCAUUGGUACGACAGGGAUCGAGAAUUUAGGAAUAACCUGAGGAUAUUCCUAGGGGCUGUCAGGAAACCCUUGACUGUCAGCGCCGGUGGUUUCUGCGACUUGUCAGCUAUCACUUUCAAAAAUAUUCUCACUAAAGCUUACUCAGGAGUGGCGGUUCUGAACAAUGCGAAUGGAUGAAAUUCUAUAUUUCGUUUUCAGUAGUUAGACUGUCUUCUACAGUUGAUGCGAUCAACAGAGUCAUGUGUAGUUUCAAUAGAUUUUUACUGUUUAGAAUUUUUAAACUAAUAAAGACAAUCAUAAAAUUACUGUUUAUCGAUAAACCAAGAGCUGAGCAUUUGAAUUAAUCCACCAACCCUAUCCAUUCAUUGUCUCUAUACACCUAGAGUUAAUCUCAAUCGAUUUUUCUCUGUCAUUGAUAGCACUAGACUGAUGUCACAUGCAUCUUGGCGAGUUGCAGGGACCCUCAGCUGUAUGCAUUAAUAAAGAUUUAAUGCUUUAUGAAACGCUUACAUGUUUUAGUCACAAAAAUAAUAUAUGGGGUUCAUAGGAUAAUUACAGGAAUAAACUCUAUAGCAGUGAUGUUACAAAGAGAUCAAACCAUGCAAUACAGAAUAAUAAACUGCAAACAGAAAUUUGGACUCAAUGUUCUUCAACAUUCGAACUUCAUCACUCAUUCUAACAUUCGGCAUGGCGAGGAAGAUUUUUUUUCCGAUUGAUAAAAGCUAUCUUCACUUUAACUUGCAGUGUUUGAGUGUUCUCGGCUUAUGGAACCCAUACAAAAGAGGAGCGAAGUUCUGGCUGUACCAGAUAUACUGGGCCUACGUUGUUAAUGUCAUAAUGGCAAUGAG